rnacentral:rRNA from 1 species
AGCGUGGAGACAGGUGGUGCAUGGCUGUCGUCAGCUCGUGUCGUGAGAUGUUGGGUUAAGUCCCGCAACGAGCGCAACCCUCACCCUUUGUUGCCAUCAGGUUAUGCUGGGCACUCUAAGGGAACUGCCUCGGUUAACGAGGAGGAAGGUGGGGAUGACGUCAAGUCAUCAUGCCCCUUACGCUCUGGGCUACACACGUGCUACAAUGGCCAAUACAAAGGGCUGCAAACCCGCGAGGGCAAGCCAAUCCCAAAAAAUUGGUCUCGGUUCAGAUUGUAGGCUGCAACCCGCCUGCAUGAAGGAGGAAUCGCUAGUAAUCGUGGAUCAGCAUGCCACGGUGAAUACGUUCCCGGGCCUUGUACACACCGCCCGUCACACCACGAAAGUCUGCUGUACUCGAAGUCGCUGAG